rnacentral:rRNA from 1 species
UACGGAGUGUGCUAGCGUUGUUCGGAAUUACUGGGCGUAAAGCGCGUGUAGGCGGCUUGGUAAGUCGGAUGUGAAAUCCCGGGGCUCAACCCCGGAACUGCAUUCGAAACUGCCUGGCUUGAGUUCGGGAGGGGGUGGCGGAAUUCCGAGUGUAGAGGUGGAAUUCGUAGAUAUUCGGAGGAACACCCGUGGCGAAGGCGGCCACCUGGACCGAUACUGACGCUGAGACGCGAAAGCGUGGGGAGCAAACAGGAUUAGAUACCCUGGUAGUCCACGCUGUAAACGGUGGACACUAGGUGCUGUGGGUAUUCAACCCCCGCAGUGCCGAAGCUAACGCAUUAAGUGUCCCGCCUGGGAAGUACGGCCGCAAGGCUAAA